AAUAGAGAUUGUGAGAUAAGAGAGAGAUCGAAGGAUUUUGAAAAUGAAUUUUCAGUUGAUUUUAGUUGGUUUAAAAUGAAAGUUGAUUUUAGAUGAAAGUUGGUUUUUACAUGUGAAGAGCUUGUUGUUUUUCUUUUACUGUUUUACGUUGCUGAUGGAGAAAGAGAACAUGUGCCUUUUUAUUUUAUUUUAUUAAUUUUAUAUCACGCCACAUGUCGAGAGUUGAUUAGUGGAUUUUGAAUUUUGAAAA
rnacentral:lncRNA from 1 species